GAUGAACGCUAGCGAUAGGCCUAACACAUGCAAGUCGAGGGGCAUCACGGGUAGCAAUACCUGGUGGCGACCGGCAGACGGGUGAGUAACGCGUAUGUAACCUACCCUGUACAGGGGGAUAACCCGGAGAAAUUCGGACUAAUAUCCCAUAAUGAUAUCUGGGGGCAUCUUCGGAUAUUUAAAGUUCCGGCGGUACAGGAUGGGCAUGCGUAACAUUAGCUAGUUGGCGGGGUAACGGCCCACCAAGGCAACGAUGGAUAGGGGAACUGAGAGGUUUAUCCCCCACACUGGUACUGAGACACGGACCAGACUCCUACGGGAGGCAGCAGUGAGGAAUAUUGGUCAAUGGACGCAAGUCUGAACCAGCCACGUCGCGUGAAGGAAGACGGCCCUACGGGUUGUAAACUUCUUUUAUACGGGAAUAAAGUGCCCCACGCGUGGGGUUUUGCAUGUACCGUAUGAAUAAGGAUCGGCUAACUCCGUG
rnacentral:rRNA from 1 species